rnacentral:rRNA from 1 species
GGAGGAAAAGAAACUAACAAGGAUUCCCCUAGUAACUGCGAGUGAAGCGGGAAAAGCUCAAAUUUAAAAUCUGGUGGUCUUUGGCCAUCCGAGUUGUAAUCUAGAGAAGUGUUACCCGCGUCGGACCGUGUACAAGUCUCCUGGAACGGAGCGUCAUAGAGGGUGAGAAUCCCGUCUUUGACACGGACUACCGAGGCUUUGUGGUGCGCUCUCAACGAGUCGAGUUGUUUGGGAAUGCAGCUCAAAAUGGGUGGUAAAUUCCAUCUAAAGCUAAAUAUUGGCGAGAGACCGAUAGCGAACAAGUACCGUGAGGGAAAGAUGAAAAGAACUUUGGAAAGAGAGUUAAACAGUACGUGAAAUUGCUGAAAGGGAAACGCUUGAAGUCAGUCGCGUUGGCCGGAAAUCAGCCUUGCUUUUGCUUGGUGUACUUUCUGGUUGACGGGCCAGCAUCAGUUUUGACCGGUGGAAAAAGUCCAAGGGAAUGUGGCAUCUUCGGAUGUGUUAUAGCCCUUGGUCGUAUACAUCGAUUGGGACUGAGGAACUCAGCACGCCGCAAGGCCGGGUCUUUGACCACGUUCGUGCUUAGGAUGCUGGCAUAAUGGCUUUAAUCGACCCGUCUUGAAACACGGACCAAGGAGUCUAACAUGCCUGCGAGUGUUUGGGUGGAAAACCCGGACGCGUAAUGAAAGUGAAAGUCGAGAUCCUUGUCAUGGGGAGCAUCGACGCCCGGACCAGAAGUUUUCUGACGGCCCUGCGGUAGAGCAUGUAUGUUGGGACCCGAAAGAUGGUGAACUAUGCCUGAAUAGGGUGAAGCCAGAGGAAACUCUGGUGGAGGCUCGUAGCGAUUCUGACGUGCAAAUCGAUCGUCAAAUUUGGGUAUAGGGGCGAAAGACUAAUCGAACCAUCUAGUA